AUUGAACGCUGGCGGUAUGCUUAACACAUGCAAGUCGAACGGCAGCACGAGGAGCUUGCUCCUUGGUGGCGAGUGGCGGACGGGUGAGUAACGCGUGGGAAUCUACCCAGUAGCGGGGGACAACCCGGGGGAAACCCGGGCUAAUACCGCAUACGACCUUCCCCUUGGUUGGGGUUGGAGAAAGCAGGGGAUCUUCGGACCUUGCACUAUUGGAUGAGCCCGCGUCGGAUUAGCUUGUUGGUGGGGUAAAGGCCUACCAAGGCGACGAUCCGUAGCUGGUCUGAGAGGACGAUCAGCCACACUGGGACUGAGACACGGCCCAGACUCCUACGGGGAGGCAGCAGUGGGGAAUAUUGGACAAUGGGCGAAAGCCUGAUCCAGCAAUACCGCGUGUGUGAAGAAGGCUCUAGGGUUGUAAAGCACUUUCAAUGGGGAAGAAUGCGAAGGGUUAAUACCCCUUCGAGAUGACGUUACCAUACAAGAAGCACGGCUAACUCCGUGCCAGCCGCCGCGGU
rnacentral:rRNA from 1 species